rnacentral:rRNA from 1 species
UAACACUUCGGGUGACGAGCGGCGGACGGCAGAGUAACGCGUAGGAAUGUACCCCAGAGUGAGGGAUAAGCCCGGGAAACCGGGUCCAAUACCGCAUAAUCUCUUCGGAGCAAAGCUUUAAGCGCUUUGGGAACAGCCUGCGUAUGAUUAGCUUGUUGGUAAGGUAAUGGCUUACCAAGGCGACGAUCAUUAGCUGGUCUGAGAGGAUGAUCAGCCUGACUGGGACUGAGACACGGCCCAGACUCCUACGGGAGGCAGCAGUAGGGAAUUUUCCACAAUGGGCGAAAGCCUGAUGGAGCAACGCCGCGUGCAGGAUGAAUGCCUUCGGGUUGUAAACUGCUUUUGUAUACGACGAUUAUGACGGUAGUAUACGAAUAAGGACCUGCUAACUACGUGCCAGCAGCCGCGGUCAUACGUAGGGUCCAAGCGUUAUCCGGAAUUACUGGGCGUAAAGAGUUGCGUAGGUGGCAGAGUAAGUUGGUAGUGAAAGCGUGUGGCUCAACCAUACAUACAUUAUCAAAACUGCUCAGCUAGAGGACAAGAGAGGUCACUGGAAUUCCUAGUGUAGGAGUGAGAUCCGUAGAUAUUAGGAGGAACACCAAUGGCGUAGGCAGGUGACUGGCUUGUUCCUGACACUAAGGCACGAAAGCGUGGGGAGCGAACCGGAUUAGAUACCCGGGUAGUCCACGCCGUAAACUAUGGAUGCUAGCUGUUACAGGUAUCGACCCCUGUAGUAGCGAAGCUAACGCGUUAAGCAUCCCGCCUGUGGAGUACGGCCGCAAGGCUAAAACAUAAAGGAAUUGACGGGGACCCGCACAAGCGGUGGAGCGUGGUUGUUUAAUUCGAUGCGAAGCGAAGAACCUUACCAGGGCUUGACAUCCUACUAAUUUCUCCGAAAGGAG